GAAUGGCAUCACGAAGGUUACACUGUCUCCUUUCUCUAAUCAGUAAAACUAAUCUUCCCGUGAAGAAGCGGGAAUUUUUAUAUAAGACGAGAAGACCCUAUGGAGCUUUAAACGAAAUAACAACUACCUCUAUUACUCCAAUUUCAGAAGACAAGCAUUAAUUCUGGUAUAAUGAUUACUAGUUUUAGGUUGGGGUGACCGCGGAGCAAAAAACAACCUCCGCACUGAAUGGACCUACACUCCUAAGCAAAAAGCUACAACUUUAUGCAUCAACAAAUUGACAUCCAUUGACCCAAUAAUUUGAUCAACGAACUAAGUUACCCUAGGGAUAACAGCGCAAUCCAUUUCAAGAGCUCCUAUCGACAAAUGG
rnacentral:rRNA from 1 species